rnacentral:rRNA from 1 species
CACGUAGGGUGCAAGCGUUGUCCGGAAUUAUUGGGCGUAAAGGGCGCGUAGGCGGGAUGGCAAGUCGGUCGUGAAAUCCCUCGGCUCAACCGAGGAACGUCGAUCGAUACUGCUGUUCUUGAGGAUUGCAGAGGAGACUGGAAUUCCCGGUGUAGCGGUGAAAUGUGUAGAGAUGCGGAGGAACACCGAUGGCGAAGGCAGCCCCCUGGGCUAACACUGACGCUCAGGCACGAAAGCGUGGGGAGCAAACAGG